rnacentral:rRNA from 1 species
AUUGAACGCUGGCGGCAGGCCUAACACAUGCAAGUCGAGCGGAUGAAGGGAGCUUGCUCCUGGAUUCAGCGGCGGACGGGUGAGUAAUGCCUAGGAAUCUGCCUGGUAGUGGGGGAUAACGUCCGGAAACGGGCGCUAAUACCGCAUACGUCCUGCGGGAGCAAGUGGGGGAUCUUCGGACCUCACGCUAUCAGAUGAGCCUAGGUCGGAGUAGCUAGUUGGUGGGGUAAAGGCCUACCAAGGCGACGAUCCGUAACUGGUCUGAGAGGAUGAUCAGUCACACUGGAACUGAGACACGGUCAAGACUCCUACGGGAGGCAGCAGUGGGGAAUAUUGGACAAUGGGCGAAAGCCUGAUCCAGUCAUGCCGCGUGUGUGAAGAAGGUCUUCGGAGUGUAAAGCACUUUAAGUUGUGAGGAAGGGCAGUAAGUUAAUACCUUGCUGUUUUGACGUUACCAACAGAAUAAGCACCGGCUAACUUCGUG